rnacentral:misc_RNA from 1 species
GUUCCUUUUCUUUAUCUUUUCACUCUUUAUCUCCCAUUUUUCCAGCAUCUAAUUCUUCCUCAUCGUUUAAAUUCUUGCCUAAUCAGCGUGGAAAUUAUCUUUGUUUCUUUACUUUUGUUCCAUCCAUCAUCAUCACUUGUCGGUUGAUUCACUUCUAAGACCAUGUUUGCCUCUAAUUGGAGGGGGAAGAAGUGAAGAAAGGCAUGUCCAUUAAGGAAAAAUUUAUCUAAUUCUGAUAUAUUAUGAACCAAGCAUUUUCG